UACGUGGGGUGCAAGCGUUAAUCGGAAUUACUGGGCGUAAAGCGUGCGCAGGCGGUUCGCUAAGACAGAUGUGAAAUCCCCGGGCUUAACCUGGGAACUGCAUUUGUGACUGGCGGGCUAGAGUAUGGCAGAGGGGGGUAGAAUUCCACGUGUAGCAGUGAAAUGCGUAGAGAUGUGGAGGAAUACCGAUGGCGAAGGCAGCCCCCUGGGCCAAUACUGACGCUCAUGCACGAAAGCGUGGGGAGCGAACAGG
rnacentral:rRNA from 1 species